GCCAAAGAAAGAAUUGGUUUUGGGGGUGACCAGAGAGAUAUACCUGCUGGAGCGCGUGCUACAGGAUUCUUCCACCAAAAAAUUGCAGAGUACCAACAAAGUAAGAAGAAAGAGAAGGCAAAGAGAGGCUGGGUGAGAGGACUUGUGGUGUAAAUGUAGGCAUCCUCAGACAAAUUGAUUCUGAUCAUGUGUACAUUUGUGAUGCCGGAUAAGGGUGACGCUACAGGACGUUGCUCCCGUCUGUGGAGCAAAGAUGGUGACAAUCUAAGUCUGCAGUAUUUUCUCUUGCCUGUAGAAAUUGUAGGCUACUCCCGUGUCAUGUUGUAUGAAUGUGUGCUAAAGAUGAAGAAACACAUGUUUUUGUCAAUGUUUAUACGUUUAUUGAAGGAUGUGUUACUUCUGUUGUGAUGACUUGGCAAAAGGUUUAUUUAUUGCACUUUUGUGCUGCAAGAUGCUCUUACUUAUAUAUGCUCUUAUAACUAAACAUACCUAUGAGUAUUUCAAAAGUAUUCUAAAUAUUGUGUUUAUACCUACUGAGUGCCUCAUAAAUUGUUAUUUUGUUUAUUUAAGCUGUGGGUAUGAAUGUGGAAGUUAGGAUGUGAAUAAGCACUUUUAAAAAAAUGGUGAAUAAAAGUUGGACCAAUGAUGUUUUAACAUGACUUUUAAGUUAGCAUUCACGAGAUUGGUGUAUAUAUUAGGAUUCCCGUUAGCCACUGUAAAAGCAUCAACUACUCUUCCUGGGGUCCACAUGAAACAUGACAUCAUACAUAGUACAGAACAUUAUUAGUCAAGGACUGAAAUACAUACAUUUAAAAUGUCACACACAGCCUACAUAUCAGUACAUACACACAAACUAGGUCUAAUACAUGGUACAAUGCAAAUUACAAUUCAAUAGAUAUGAAAUGGCUUUCUUUUCACAGUCCCCUUUGUGCCGUAAGGUAUUUUAUGUUUAUUUAAACUAGUUGUAUUGGUAGCUUGAGUUACGUAGGGUAGCAGAGUUCCAUGUAGUCAUGGCUCUAUUUAAUAUUGUGCUUUUCCCAGCCUCUGUUCUGGACCUGGGGACUGUGAAAAGUGGCCUCUGGUUGCAUGUCUUGUGUCCGAACUGUGUGCCAACUCCUUGAACAGACAGUUCCCUUC
ensembl:lncRNA